rnacentral:tRNA from 1 species
GUGGGUAUAGCUCAGUUGGUUAGAGCGCCAGAUUGUGGUUCUGGAAGUCGUGGGUUCGAAUCCCAUUACUCACCCCA